rnacentral:rRNA from 1 species
AGCGGACGCUGGCGGCAGGCCUAACACAUGCAAGUCGAACGGAUCCUUCGGGAUUAGUGGCGGACGGGUGAGUAACACGUGGGAACGUGCCCUUUGGUUCGGAACAACUCAGGGAAACUUGAGCUAAUACCGGAUGUGCCCUUCGGGGGAAAGAUUUAUCGCCAUUGGAGCGGCCCGCGUCUGAUUAGCUAGUUGGUGAGGUAAAGGCUCACCAAGGCGACGAUCAGUAGCUGGUCUGAGAGGAUGAUCAGCCACAUUGGGACUGAGAAACGGCCCAAACUCCUACGGGAGGCAGCAGUGGGGAAUCUUGCGCAAUGGGCGAAAGCCUGACGCAGCCAUGCCGCGUGAAUGAUGAAGGUCUUAGGAUUGUAAAAUCCUUUCACCGGUGAAGAUAAUGACUGUAGCCGGAGAAGAAGCCCCGGCUAACUUCGUGCCAGCAGCCGCCGUAAGAC